rnacentral:rRNA from 1 species
GACGUGCUAAUCUGCGAUAAGCGUCGGUGAGGUGAUAUGAACCGUUAUAACCGGCGAUUUCCGAAUGGGGAAACCCAGUGUGUUUCGACACACUAUCAUUAACUGAAUCCAUAGGUUAAUGAGGCGAACCGGGGGAACUGAAACAUCUAAGUACCCCGAGGAAAAGAAAUCAACCGAGAUUCCCCCAGUAGCGGCGAGCGAACGGGGAGGAGCCCAGAGCCUGAAUCAGUGUGUGUGUUAGUGGAAGCGUCUGGAAAGGCGUGCGAUACAGGGUGACAGC